AGAGUUUGAUCAUGGCUCAGAUUGAACGCUGGCGGCAGGCCUAACACAUGCAAGUCGAACGGUAACAGGAAGCAGCUUGCUGCUUUGCUGACGAGUGGCGGACGGGUGAGUAAUGUCUGGGAAACUGCCUGAUGGAGGGGGAUAACUACUGGAAACGGUGGCUAAUACCGCAUAACGUCGCAAGACCAAAGAGGGGGACCUUCGGGCCUCUUGCCAUCAGAUGUGCCCAGAUGGGAUUAGCUAGUUGGUGAGGUAACGGCUCACCAAGGCGACGAUCCCUAGCUGGUCUGAGAGGAUGACCAGCCACACUGGAACUGAGACACGGUCCAGACUCCUACGGGAGGCAGCAGUGGGGAAUAUUGCACAAUGGGCGCAAGCCUGAUGCAGCCAUGCCGCGUGUAUGAAGAAGGCCUUCGGGUUGUAAAGUACUUUCAGCGGGGAGGAAGGUGUUGUGGUUAAUAACCACAGCAAUUGACGUUACCCGCAGAAGAAGCACCGGCUAACUCCGUGCCAGCAGCCGCGGUAAUACGGAGGGUGCAAGCGUUAAUCGGAAUUACUGGGCGUAAAGCGCACGCAGGCGGUCUGUCAAGUCGGAUGUGAAAUCCCCGGGCUCAACCUGGGAACUGCAUUCGAAACUGGCAGGCUUGAGUCUUGUAGAGGGGGGUAGAAUUCCAGGUGUAGCGGUGAAAUGCGUAGAGAUCUGGAGGAAUACCGGUGGCGAAGGCGGCCCCCUGGACAAAGACUGACGCUCAGGUGCGAAAGCGUGGGGAGCAAACAGGAUUAGAUACCCUGGUAGUCCACGCCGUAAACGAUGUCUACUUGGAGGUUGUGCCCUUGAGGCGUGGCUUCCGGAGCUAACGCGUUAAGUAGACCGCCUGGGGAGUACGGCCGCAAGGUUAAAACUCAAAUGAAUUGACGGGGGCCCGCACAAGCGGUGGAGCAUGUGGUUUAAUUCGAUGCAACGCGAAGAACCUUACCUGGUCUUGACAUCCACAGAACUUUCCAGAGAUGGAUUUGUGCCUUCGGGAACUGUGAGACAGGUGCUGCAUGGCUGUCGUCAGCUCGUGUUGUGAAAUGUUGGGUUAAGUCCCGCAACGAGCGCAACCCUUAUCCUUUGUUGCCAGCGGUCCGGCCGGGAACUCAAAGGAGACUGCCAGUGAUAAACUGGAGGAAGGUGGGGAUGACGUCAAGUCAUCAUGGCCCUUACGACCAGGGCUACACACGUGCUACAAUGGCGCAUACAAAGAGAAGCGACCUCGCGAGAGCAAGCGGACCUCAUAAAGUGCGUCGUAGUCCGGAUUGGAGUCUGCAACUCGACUCCAUGAAGUCGGAAUCGCUAGUAAUCGUGGAUCAGAAUGCCACGGUGAAUACGUUCCCGGGCCUUGUACACACCGCCCGUCACACCAUGGGAGUGGGUUGCAAAAGAAGUAGGUAGCUUAACCUUCGGGAGGGCGCUUACCACUUUGUGAUUCAUGACUGGGGUGAAGUCGUAACAAGGUAACCGUAGGGGAACCUGCGGUUG
rnacentral:rRNA from 1 species